AACAAACAAACCCUGAUUUCCAUGUCCAAUAUUUGACCGUCUGUCUUAUUUAAAAAAAAUAUUAAAAAAAAUUAAAAAGAUAAGUCACGAAUAAAGUAUUAAUCAUGUUUUAUUAUCUAACAACAAUGAAAAUAAUAAUUAUAAAAAAAUUUCAUAUAAGACGGACAAUCAAACGUUGGCAUAGAAACUUAGGGUUUGCCUUCUU
rfam:Oryza glumipatula chromosome 1, whole genome shotgun sequence.